rnacentral:rRNA from 1 species
GACGGAGGGUGCAAACGUUGCUCGGAAUCACUGGGCGUAAAGGGUGCGUAGGCGGGUCUUUUAAGUCAGGGGUGAAAUCCUGGAGCUCAACUCCAGAACUGCCUUUGAUACUGAAGAUCUUGAGUUCGGGAGAGGUGAGUGGAACUGCGAGUGUAGAGGUGAAAUUCGUAGAUAUUCGCAAGAACACCAGUGGCGAAGGCGGCUCACUGGCCCGAUACUGACGCUGAGGCACGAAAGCGUGGGGAGCAAACAGGG